rnacentral:rRNA from 1 species
GACGAACGCUGGCGGCGUGCCUAAUACAUGCAAGUCGAACGCUUCUUUCCUCCCGAGUGCUUGCACUCAAUUGGAAAGAGGAGUGGCGGACGGGUGAGUAACACGUGGGUAACCUACCCAUCAGAGGGGGAUAACACUUGGAAACAGGUGCUAAUACCGCAUAACAGUUUAUGCCGCAUGGCAUAAGAGUGAAAGGCGCUUUCGGGUGUCGCUGAUGGAUGGACCCGCGGUGCAUUAGCUAGUUGGUGAGGUAACGGCUCACCAAGGCCACGAUGCAUAGCCCACCUCGAAGAGUGUUCGGCCAACCGGGGACUGAGGCACGACCCAGAAUCCUACGCGAGGUAGCAGUAGGGAAUCGUCGGCAAUGGACGGAAGGCUGACCGAGCAACGCCGCGUGAGUGAAGAAGGUUUUCGGAUCGUAAAACUCUGUUGUUAGAGAAGAACAAGGGCGUUAGUAACUGAACGUCCCCUGACGGUAUCUAACCAGAAAGCCACGGCUAACUACGUGCCAGCCGCCGCGGUAA